rnacentral:rRNA from 1 species
AGUGAACGCUGGCGGCAGGCCUAAUACAUGCAAGUCGAACGGCAGCACAGCAGAGCUUGCUCUGUGGGUGGCGAGUGGCGGACGGGUGAGGAAUACAUGGGAAUCUGCCCAGUCGUGGGGGAUAACGUAUGGAAACGUACGCUAAUACCGCAUGCGCCCUACGGGGGAAAGCCGGGGACCGAAAGGCCUGGCGCGAUUGGAUGAGCCCAUGUUCGAUUAGCUAGUUGGCGGGGUAAAGGCCCACCAAGGCGACGAUCGAUAGCUGGUCUGAGAGGAUGAUCAGCCACACUGGAACUGAGACACGGGUCCAGACUCCUACGGGAGGCAGCAGUAGGGAAUAUUGGACAAUGGGGGCAACCCUGAUCCAGCCAUGCCGCGUGAGUGAAGAAGGCCCUCGGGUUGUAAAGCUCUUUUGUCCGGAAAGAAAAGCAUUCGGUUAAUACCCGGGUGUUCUGACGGUACCGGAAGAAUAAGCACCGGCUAACUUCGUGCCAGCAGCCG